rfam:Triticum aestivum genome assembly, contig: Triticum_aestivum_CS42_TGACv1_scaffold_289551_4AL
AUAGUACUCCCUCCGUCAGAAAAUACUUGUCAUCAAAUUGAACAAAAAAGGGAUGUAUCUAGAACUAAAAUACAUCUAGAUACAUUCCCUUUUAUUUAUUUUGAUGACAAGUAUUUCCGGACGGAGGGAGUACUAC